UACGGAGGGUGCAAGCGUUAUCCGGAUUCACUGGGUUUAAAGGGUGCGUAGGUGGGUUGGUAAGUCAGUGGUGAAAUCUCCGAGCUUAACUUGGAAACUGCCAUUGAUACUAUCAGUCUUGAAUAUUGUGGAGGUCAGCGGAAUAUGUCAUGUAGCGGUGAAAUGCUUAGAUAUGACAUAGAACACCUAUUGCGAAGGCAGCUUACUACACGGAGAUUGACGCUCAUGCACGAAAGCGUGGGGAUCAAACAGG
rnacentral:rRNA from 1 species